UUAUUGGAACUAAUUGCAAUAAGAACACACAAAUCGACAAAAAGUUGAUAACUUUUACAAAGUAUAAUGCUUAGACCAUGUGGAGAAUAUCACACACAAGACACUCACCAAGCUCCACUCUCUCAAAAAAUCUCUCACACAUAAAUCCUAGAAUGGAAUAAUUAAACGAUCGAUUACCGGAUUGAUGCACGCUAACCUGACCUUGAUUAAAUUGUUUUGUUUGGAAUACCAAAACCCUAAAUCGCAGAUCGCUCGCUUGGGUCGGGUCGGGUCACACUCCACUCUCGGAUCUCUCUUUCGCUUCCAGCUACGCUCCUCUAUUUUGUGAUCAUUGUACAGUUGCCGGUCAACGUUAUUGGCGGCAGGAUUCCAGUGGUGGGACGGCGAAUUAGGGCAGAGAUCUUCGCCGGAAAGCCAUGAAGUUUGUUCACCACCAUUAACUCCUGUAGUAGUACUGUCUUAUUCCAAAUCGAAUACAUGUUUGUUUGGUUUGGUCUGAAGUUGAAUAUGUGGAUUUGAAUUUUAGGGCCUGGAUCAAGAGAUGAUGG
rnacentral:lncRNA from 1 species